rnacentral:rRNA from 1 species
UACGUAGGGGGCAAGCGUUGUCCGGAAUUAUUGGGCGUAAAGAGCGUGUAGGCGGCCAGGUAGGUCAGCUGUGAAAGCUCGAGGCUCAACCUCGAGACGUCGGUUGAAACCACCUGGCUAGAGUCCGGAAGAGGAGAGUGGAAUUCCUGGUGUAGCGGUGAAAUGCGCAGAUAUCAGGAAGAACACCCGUGGCGAAGGCGGCUCUCUGGGACGGUACUGACGCUGAGACGCGAAAGCGUGGGGAGCGAACAGG